AGAGUUUGAUCCUGGCUCAGGACGAACGCUGACGGUGUGCUUUAGACAUGCAAGUCGAACGAGAAAGCCCUUCGGGGUGAGUACAGUGGCGAACGGGUGAGUAACACGUGGGUAACCUGCCCCUCGCAGGGGGACAACCGGGGGAAACCCCGGCUAAUACCCCGUACGCUCCGAGGUCCGCAUGGUCCUCGGAGGAGAGGUAGCUUCGGCCAUCCGGCGAGGGAUGGGCCCGCGGUCCAUUAGCUAGUUGGUGGGGUAACGGCUCACCAAGGCGACGAUGUAUAGCUGGUCUGAGAGGAUGAUCAGCCACACUGGGACUGAGACACGGCCCAGACUCCUACGGGAGGCAGCAGUCGGGAAUCUUGCGCAAUGGGCGAAAGCCUGACGCAGCAACACCGUGUGAGCGACGAAGGCCUUCGGGUCGUAAAGCUCUGUUGUUGGGGACGAAGGGUUAGGGGUUAAUAGCCCCAAGCCUGACGGUACCCUUCGAGGAAGCCCCGGCUAACUACGUGCCAGCAGCCGCGGUAAUACGUAGGGGGCGAGCGUUGUCCGGAAUUAUUGGGCGUAAAGAGCGUGUAGGCGGUUCGGUAAGUCUGCCGUGAAAACCCAGGGCUCAACCCUGGGCGUGCGGUGGAUACUGCCGGGCUAGAGGGUGGUAGAGGCGAGUGGAAUUCCCGGUGUAGCGGUGAAAUGCGCAGAUAUCGGGAGGAACACCAGUAGCGAAGGCGGCUCGCUGGGCCACACCUGACGCUGAGACGCGAAAGCGUGGGGAGCAAACAGGAUUAGAUACCCUGGUAGUCCACGCCGUAAACGAUGGACACUAGGUGUGGGCGGAGUCGAAUCUGUCCGUGCCGAAGCCAACGCGAUAAGUGUCCCGCCUGGGGAGUACGGCCGCAAGGCUAAAACUCAAAGGAAUUGACG
rnacentral:rRNA from 1 species